ACCCCAAUAACUGGCCUCGGGUUUGACUUUAUUAACAAGAACUUUUAAGAUUCAUGCUACAGAUGUUUAACCCACAACCUCAGCAACAACUACCCAAGGAAACCAAGGAAGCUGUCUCAAAAUCUGCAGCAAUCAGCCACCAUGACUAACCAUUAACUCGACUGCCACAUUCCCUCUUUCUUUGAUCCUCUUCCAACUAAGAAUCAACAGAGAAAGUAAAAAUUGCUCCUCAAACCAAAUAUAUUAACACGCCUUGUCUCCAGGUAGCUUGCCUUUGAGUUGCUGAGAGAGAAGGAAGCUGGUUUUCCUGAAAUGAAUACCUCCAUCAGUGGCCUCUGUUUUCAUUUGGGUGUCUUUCCCUGGUUUCCACUUGACUCCACUACAGGUCUGGAUGUGAGCACCACAGACAAGGUGCUGUGACUCCUGUCCUGAUCCCUCACCAUGGAGCACAUAACAGUCGUUGGAGGGUUCUCACUAUUCAGCCCUCACUGUCCUGGAACUCAC